rnacentral:rRNA from 1 species
CGGGACGGGUGAGUAAUGUCUGGGAAACUGCCUGAUGGAGGAGGAUAACUACUGGAAACGGUAGCUAAUACCGCAUAACGUCGCAAGACCAAAGAGGGGGACCUUAGGGCCUCUUGCCAUCGGAUGUGCCCAGAUGGGAUUAGCUAGUAGGUGGGGUAACGGCUCACCUAGGCGACGAUCCCUAGCUGGUCUGAGAGGAUGACCAGCCACACUGGAACUGAGACACGGUCCAG